AUUGAACGCUGGCGGCAUGCCUAACACAUGCAAGUCGAGCGGAGCGGCGGACGGGUGAGUAAUGCCUAGGAAUCUGCCUGGUAGUGGGGGAUACCGUCCGGAAACGGGCGCUAAUACCGCAUACUAUCAGAUGAGCCUAGGUCGGCUUAGCUAGUUGGUGGGGUAAAGGCCUACCAAGGCGACGAUCCGUAACUGGUCUGAGAGGAUGAUCGGUCACACGGGAACUGAGAAACGGUCCAGACUCCAACGGGAGGCAGCAGGGGGGAAUAUUGGAGAAUGGGCGAAAGCCUGAUCCAGCCAUGCCGCGUGAGUGAAGAAGGUUUUCGGAUUGUAAAGCCCUUUAAGUUGGGAGGCGUUACCAACAGAAUAAGCACCGGCUAACUUCGUGCCAGCAGCCGCGGUAAGAC
rnacentral:rRNA from 1 species